CGGGGCCUGUGCGUGAGGCGUCGGCCGCGGGGCGGCUCGGGCCCGGAGAGGCGCGGUGUUGACGAGACGCUGCUCCCGGGAGUCACUCGCGGAAUGCAGGGGGCGGGGAAGGGGUGGUGGAGCUGGAGCUGAAGCUGUAGCCAGGCCCGGUUGGGGUGGAGGGCGUGGAGGACUCGCUGCAGUGCAAGGUUGUGCAGCUCCUGCGCUGUCCCCAGAGGAAGCUGCCCCACGGGGCUCCUCUGCCGUACACUGAAGGCACCUGAGAGCCCUCAGCCCUGGGACAGGUCGCUUCCUCCCCACAGGCCACGUUUGUUCUGCCUGGUUUGGUGGGUUUUUUCCCUCUGAUCCUCUCAAGUGCUGGUUGUUUAAUACCCAGAAGAUCUUGUGCUGGUUCUGUUUACAGGGUCUCUUCUAAGCAACCAGAUGUUUGGUUCUCCAAAGGAUGGCUGAACCUCCUGCCUUUGUCCUGCUGUGCUUGUGGAAGCAGUAGAGGUAAGUGCAGUGUGCUUGGCUGUACUGUGCAGGCAAACAGCCACACGAGGCUCAGCUCCUGUGCCUGAGGCAAGGCCACUGGUGCCUGUCCUCCUGUCCAGCUGCAGCAGCACCUCAGGCCUCUGUGAUGAGGGGACUGGAACAUCUGUUUUAUGAGGAAAAGCUGAGAGACCUGGGACUGUUCAGCCUGGAGAAGGCUGAGAAGGGACCUUAGCAAUGCUGAUCAAUACCUAAAGGGUGGGUAUCAGGAGCAUCACAGAUGCAGUGCCACAGCCUCUUCCAUGUCAUCCAGGGACACCAAACACUGCAGUGUCCCCUGGGGAAAGAUCCUAUUCCUGGAGCAGGUCCUCACAGCACGUACCAGCUGGGGACACGUGCGUGGCUCCCUGCCCAGAGCAGGUGCCAAGGUGCCCUGGUGUGGGUGGCAGCCGCUGCAUCACUGCAGGCCUCUGUGUUUGCUGAGGAUGGGGAACCCUUGAGGCAGCAGCUCUAUGGUGACCUCAGCAGUAAUUGCUCUGGCUUUUAACCCUGCUCUCCCAGGAGUAUGGCCCAUAACUGUGAUUGCUUCCUUGGCAUUUGCAAUUUGAGUCACAUCUCUGGCAGCCUAAGGAUUGUCUGCAUGGGCUGAGGAUGCCAGAGGUCCCCCAGGAAGGAAGAUCUCGUUGCUGGGCUCAGCAGUGAUGAAGGAGUGGCUCAGGAGCACGUGUCCAGCUUCACUGUUAAAUAACAGCAUGAGGGAGAUUUAUCCUGAGCCUGUUAAGCUGGUCCUGUGUUCUGCUUAGGCUUAGUCUUUUUAUCUCUGCCCAUCUUCCUCUUCCAUAAGACCUACUAAACUAGUCACAAUAAAAGGAGGUGGGUUUUUUUGUCCUCUCUUCCAUUAAGCUUCUUGUCAUACUUCACUGAAAAUGCUGCAAGGAAGUGUGUGCCUCUUCGGUGCCUCCCAGUGAGGGGAUGAGAGGAGAAACAUGGUUUUUUUCAUUUCCUAAAUAUAGCUGCCUGUAACUGCUGCCUUGACAGCCUUGAAUGUCAUCCAGGUCAAAGAUCCAGCGCUGGAGAGGAAGUUAAAUCCUUUCUGUGUCAUCCUGACCUUUUUCUGUUUGAACACAACAGCAUGGCACAUCAGUCUGUUUCAGGGAGGGACAUGAAAAGUUCUGGGUGAAAGCAAGCUCACAGCAGGAGGAGCAGAGGGGGGAUUUCAGCUGGGUGGUGUUCUGCUGUUUUCUAGCUGAGACUUCUGCCAUGUGGAUGUUUCACUGGCUUGCUUUUGUUACCCUGAGAUGGCUUUUGCUCCUUGCAACUUAAUUGCAGUAAUUAAGAGGGAAAAAUCCAACCUAAAACUACCUGUGUUUAAUUGUUGAGGACCUUUUUCCUUCACUAAAGGCUGUGAGCUCUCAAAUCCUAAAAUAAAACAAACACUGGUGCUGAAGGAAGGAGAACAUUGCAUGAGGGCAGAGAAACUGGGCCACUUGGGGAAUAUGCUUUCAGGCCUAUUUCUGUCACAGCAAGCUAAAAGGACACCAACUUUGGGGAAAGAGCUCUUUUGGCCCUUUGGUCCUUGCUCUGUUACUCCUUCCCCAUCUAAGUCAGGAGAUGUGUGUGAACAGCUCAUAUGCUUCUGCAGCCUGUGGGGAACCAUGUUCAUCUCACUACUUCAGCUCUAUAGCAACUGUCUCAUGAUGGCAGGAACCAUGAUGUCAGCCAUAAGGGCAAAAAUACCUGGUCUGUGUUACUGUGGGUGCAGCUCUCUGCUGAUUCAGCUCCCAUCAGGAUGGAAAGAUGGGAAUCUAUUUUUAAUAGAUGAGGCAAUGUGUGAUUUAUCACUACUACAGUCACAUAUCAGGGCAAAUCCUGUGUGACCUGUCCAGUGCCAACAUCAGAGAGGCCAAGAGAAUAAAACUUUAGAAGAAGUGUGA